rnacentral:rRNA from 1 species
UACGUAGGGUGCAAGCGUUAAUCGGAAUUACUGGGCGUAAAGCGUGCGCAGGCGGUUUUGUAAGUUCGUCGUGAAAUCCCCGGGCUCAACCUGGGGAAUUGCGAUGGAGACUGCAAGGCUAGAAUCUGGCAGAGGGGGGUAGAAUUCCACGUGUAGCAGUGAAAUGCGUAGAGAUGUGGAGGAACACCGAUGGCGAAGGCAGCCCCCUGGGUCAAGAUUGACGCUCAUGCACGAAAGCGUGGGGAGCAAACAGG